rnacentral:rRNA from 1 species
AUACGUAGGGAGCGAGCGUUGUCCGGAAUUACUGGGUGUAAAGGGUGCGUAGGCGGGACUGCAAGUCAGAUGUGAAAUGCCGGGGCUCAACCCCGGAGCUGCAUUUGAAACUGUGGUUCUUGAGUGAGGUAGAGGUAAGCGGAAUUCCUAGUGUAGCGGUGAAAUGCGUAGAUAUUAGGAGGAACAUCGGUGGCGAAGGCGGCUUACUGGGCCUUUACUGACGCUGAGGCACGGAAGCGUGGGGAGCAAACAGGAUUAGAUACCCUGGUAGUCCAUGCUGUAAACGAUGAUUGCUAGGUGUGGGGGGACUGACCCCUUCCGUGCCGGAGUUAACACAAUAAGCAAUCCACCUGGGGAGUACGAUCGCAAGAUUGAAACUCAAAUGAAUUGACGGGG